rnacentral:rRNA from 1 species
GACGAACGCUGGCGGCGUGCUUAACACAUGCAAGUCGAACGAGUGGCGAACGGGUGAGUAUUACGUGAGUAACCUGCCCUCAACUGUGGGAUAAGCCUGGGAAACUGGGUCUAAUACUGCAUAGUUGGGGAUGGGCUCGCGGCCUAUCAGCUUGUUGGUGGGGUGAUGGCUACCAAGGCGUGACGGGUAGCUGGUCUGAGAGGAUGACCAGCCAAACUGGAACUGAGACACGGUCCAGACUCCUACGGGAGGCAGCAGUGGGGAAUAUUGCACAAUGGGCGAAAGCCUGAUGCAGCCAUGCCGCGUGUAUGAAGAAGGCCGUCGGGUUGUAAAGUACUUUCAGCGAGGAGGGAGUACUCGCAGAAGAAGCACCGGCUAACUCCGUGCCAGCAGCCGCGGUAAUAC